UCGGACACACUGUUAAGUGUUACAGUGUUAGGAGAGAGAUGGGUGAGGGGACCUGGAGAGGUAAGGGGCCUGGAAAUGGCCCUGACAGAGAACUUGUGCUGACCGGGAGAAGGUGGCACGGAAGGGCACCACAGGCAUUCCACAGGCCAUUCCUCCUCCUCCAUGUGCACGCACAUCCAACACACACCUUCCAUGUGACCGCUUCUCAGCCACCACCUUCUGACCAAAGAGAACAGGAGCUCCAAGGAGAACCUGUACCCCUGCCCCAGCCACGCCUUCCUAAGAAGCAGUGUCUGGAGUUGGCUGUUUCCCACCUCCCCAACUGCAUGUGCAGCCCAAUGGUAGGCAGGUCCUCUGGUGCAGUUCCCAAAAUGUUCCUCGCCCUUUCUCCGUGGUCACCAUACAUAACUCAUGUUCGCUUUAAUGAGUUACAUGCUUAACAGCCACAGGCCAUUACUGCCCUUAUAGAUGGGUCUGGGGGCGACAUUCCUGGCCAACCCCUUGCUAGGAAAGACCAGAUGAUACCCGGGAAGCAAGUAGCUCUGGUUUUAACCUCACAGGAAGCCUCUGCAUCCUCCUUCAUUUCAGCAGGGAAAACUCCUGUGGAGUGGGCCCUACCUGGGGCAUUUACAGGCUUCCAGCUGUAUUCCAUCCCUGGAAGCUGAUACCUUUCUAUAGAGUCCUUUUAUGAGAGCUCAGUGGGAAGGUCUGUCAAGAAAUUCAGCUUCUUGUACAGACAAAUUCAUGCAAAUUUAUAUUAUUUUCACAAAAACCAGAAGCCAUGGGUAAUCCAAAGACUUAAAGUCUAAAGAUGGUGGCUUUUUAAACAUGAACAUUCCAAAAAAAUCGUUUUUGUUUUGGGUUUGGCUAGAUUCUCUUAUUUGUCCCUUUUUGGCUUAAGUAUCAGUUUCAUUCUACUGAAAUGAUGGAGAGAGGGCCUAAGGUUACUAGGUAAUUGAGCUAAUGGUGCAGGGAAAAUGGUUGAGAAAGGAAGCCUAGUUUUCAGAAGCCUGACACAGAGCUAGUUCGCUGUUCUCUACUCCUUAACACGUUAACCAGAGACUCUUGGGUGUCGAGCAGGCACCCAGGAAGGCACAGGGAAGCAUCAGCAACCAAGGUCGUCUCUGCCCUCUGUAACUGACAUGUUGGUGCCAUCAGAAUCUGAAUUGGAACCUACCUGAAGGGCCCAGUGGAAUAGCUUUUCUGGGGAGUGGAAGGCAUCCUUGAUCACAGAGCUUUGCUGUUGAAUCCUGGAGUCUUGCAACAUGGUGACGCCUCAGUAGUUGGUGAUCCUGAUCACCUUUGACGGCUUGUUUUAGUGGAAAGAGCAAGGGACUAGAGGUCAGGAGACCCAGGACCCAGUCCUGAAGCUGCCAAGGUUAGAUCUUGCCCCCAAUUUAGUUCAUUGCCCCCAAUUUGUCUGGCCUGUAAAAUGAAGGGGGAGAGUUGCACAAACCUAAAACUAUUCUGGUUUUGUUAUACCCAUUGUGCUGCCAGUAGGGGUGGGACUGCCCAUUGCUGGCAAGGAACUGGAAACAGUAGCAAGCAUGGUGAGUGCUGGGGAGCUGGUUGGGGGGUUCUCUCCUGUUCGAAGAAGAAGCUUUCACCAUGGGCUUCAUUAUCUUGUCAGACGUGUUGUGAAUUAGUUUCCACCAGGGACCCCUUUAUCCCAAACAACAACACGAAAUACACCCUAAGCCUCAGAGUAAAAUUGAUGUGGGGCUAUCCUUUGGCUAUUGGGUCAUCUGUGCUGCUCCCCACUCAUUUCUGAUUGGUUUGCAAACGUGUCUUUUGCCAGGGCAGGGCAUAGUAUGCACAUAGGCAUGUUAUGUGCCUAGGUUUCAGGCACUGCUUCUGUAAGGGAAAAUGGGAGUAGCCUUCCUCCACCCUGAUCCUUAGGAACAUUCCUCCGGCCCAGGGACAGCUUGCUCUUCUUACCAAACAGGUGAAGCCUGCAGUCCAAGGUGCCUGGAGCCAGAGGUCGGGGAGUAUGCACAGCUGCCCCCACCUGAGAGGGAGCAGCUUGCAAGGGGAGCCAGUGGAGGGAAAGGGGUACAACAGUUUUGGAAUACAUUCUGGAUCUUGAAAAGGAUCUUGUGAUUUUGGCUGAGCCAUGGUCACUUCCCUCGUAAAGGGCCCGCCCUAUAUCCUAAAUUCUGGAUCCCUCAAAGUCCAGCCACAGAAUUUGCAUGAAGCAAAAAGCCUACUCAGUGAGAAAGGCAAGGGUCCAAGAUGGGAGCAGUGCUGUGCUCUCAUCACUGUCUCGCUUGGAGUGAAAAUGUUCAUGUGAGCACCCUGUCUUCAGGCAGUAUGCUCUCCCCUUAUCCCAGCAGGGCUACUUUCCUCUUCACUCUGAGGGGAGCUUUAGCUGCUUUCAAAAUGGAGCACGUUGCACUGGAGUUUCGUGCCCUCUCGUUAACCUGUCAGGAGCCACAGUCCCAGGCUCCAUAAAACGGAAUCGAUGUCUCAGUAUACAUGACCCACGUUCAUAGCAAUGUUCAGCCAUUUGGGUUUGAAGAAAGCCGCAUUAAAGCCAAGACCCCGUUUGGAGCGAACUGCCUUGUUCUUUGCUGUGUGGAAGGUUCUGUCCCCACAGCUAAGCUCCAGUUCCUCCCCAAGCAUCCUGGCCUCAGAAAUCCUGGCUUCCCUAAGUUAGUGCUGUCUGACCUGAGCCAGGCCACCGCUUGGUGCCUCUAUAGGCCACUGUGCAUGUUGAUAAUCGCCCAAAAGGAUUAGUGAAGCUCCUGACCCUGGCAAGGCCGUAAUGAACACUGAAGUGCACAGGCCGAGGGAUGUAAUUGAAAGGCAUUUAUUUUUGUGAAGACGCUAUAAAAUUAGCAUUUAAAUAUCCCAUUCCCUUCUCUUGGCCUCCUCCUAUCCCCCUAUGGUAUUUCUCCUCCUCUCCUCAAGGCCAGGCUUUUUGUGAAAGGCAUUGGCUCACCUUUGUCAGCGUGGUCCCGAUGCUCACUUCUGGGCUGCUGGAGAGGACUGAGAGAUGUGUAAUUUGGUAGGAAGGAGGUGUGUGGGGGGUUAGUGGGGAAUCCCAUUUUUUUGCAUCACUGUGAGGGAGCUCCAGGCCCUGUCCCUGGAGAAAUAAUUGCUGCGCAGAAGUCACAGGCCAUACUGGGCAGUUCUGGUACAAACCUGCCCUUAAUAAUAAUAAAAUAAUAAUAAUAAUAACUCCAUUUGCAUAGAACUGUCACUCAUUCCUGCCAGUCUGCUGUCCCUACCCUGGUUUUUUGCUGGCCCCAACCACUGGCCUUGUUGAGUACUGAUGGGCCCUGAGCUCUUCUGUUUGCUUCUGGAGCUCUUCAGAUGCUGCCCCCCUGAGAAUACCCUAACUCUGGGGAGAGAGCAGCCAAAAUCCCAAUACAAUGAAACUCCACACAAUCUUGUUAGCAACAGUGACCCAGAAAAUUUUGAGGUGUCCAAUUUCACCAGAAGAGGCCCAGGGCUCCCUUUGGUCACAUUUUCUACCCAGCCAUUCUUGGGAUUGCAACAUCCAUUUCUAGCUCCAGUUUAAUUUUCUCCACCCAGACCCCAGAAAUAAAUGGAUCCAUGAUGAUAAUUAAGAGAAGAGAAAAAAAAAGAUAUUAUUUUUGUUAGGACAAACCAUCGUAGGUUUUUAGCAAUGUGUAUCUGUGUGUCCCUCACACCUUUUCCUAUUCUACUUUUUUUCUUUUUUUUAAAAUAUUAUGUACUAUAUUUUUAGUCUCAAACACACUAUAUAUUAUAUAUAUUUAAUUUUUUUAUAUAUAUAAAUAUAAAUGUUUUAAAAAGUA